CCCAGACUCCUACGGGAGGCAGCAGUGGGGAAUAUUGGGCAAUGGGCGCAAGCCUGACCCAGCGACGCCGCGUGAGGGAAGACGGUCUUCGGAUUGUAAACCUCUUUCAGCAGGGAAGACAAAAGGACGGUACCUGCAGAAGAAGCCACGGCUAACUACGUGCCAGCAGCCGCGGUAAUACGUAGGGGGCGAGCGUUGUCCGGAAUUACUGGGCGUAAAGAGAGCGUAGGCGGCACUACAAGUCUCAUGUGAAAUACCCGGGCUUAACUUGGGGGUUGCAUGGGAAACUGUAGAGCUUGAGUACAGGAGAGGCAAGCGGAAUUCCUAGUGUAGCGGUGAAAUGCAUAGAUAUUAGGAGGAACACCAGUGGCGAAGGCGGCUUGCUGGACUGAAACUGACGCUGAGGCUCGAAAGCGUGGGGAGCAAACAGGAUUAGAUACCCUUGUA
rnacentral:rRNA from 1 species